GACGAACGCUGGCGGCGUGCUUAACACAUGCAAGUCGAACGGAAAGGCCCUGCUUUUGUGGGGUGCUCGAGUGGCGAACGGGUGAGUAACACGUGAGUAACCUGCCCUUGACUUUGGGAUAACUUCCGGAAACUGGGGCUAAUACCGGAUAGGAGCUCCUGCUGCAUGGUGGGGGUUGGAAAGUUUCGGCGGUUGGGGAUGGACUCUCGGCUUAUCAGCCUGUUGGUGGGGUAGUGGCUUACCAAGGCCUUGACGGGUAGCUGGCCUGAGAGGGUGACCGGCCACAUUGGGACUGUGAUACGGCCCAGACUCCUACGGGAGGCAGCAGUGGGGAAUAGUGCACGAUGGGCGGAAGCCUGAUGCAGCAACGCCGCGUGCGGGAUGACGGCCGUCGAGUUGUAAACCGCUUUCGCCUGUGACGAAGCGUGAGUGACAGUAAGGGGUAAAGAAGCACCGGCUAACUACGUG
rnacentral:rRNA from 1 species